CUGAGUUCUGCCUGGCAGGACGCAGCCCUGGGCCACAGCCACAUCACUUCUGCCUAGGCGGCUCUUGGUGGAACUUGGAUAAGGUUUUCCUUGGAGGCUGUCUGCUGUCCCCAUAAAAAAGGGACCCCCGGCCUCUCUGUGGAUGCAAGGCUCUGGAGAGCUCUGCCUCUGGAGCCUGCACCGGCCCCUGCCCACAGCCUCGGUCUCAGGGUAGGUACUCACCUCGAUGAUGUUCAGCUGCUCCACGCUGGAGGCCACCCUGAACUCAGAGCCACUCUGCUGGUAGAUUUCAUCUGCAACACAGAGGCCACACUGUAACAGCAGGCACUCAGGAAUGCUACAAGUCCCCGUGUCCCACCACUGUGCGGUGAUUGGGUAAGACAGGGGUGAGCUGCACCCUCCUCCCCAACGCUGCUUACCUUGUGAUUCCUCAGGCUCCGGACUCUCCAUUUUGUCCAUGAGGUCGUUGGAGUUCCACUUGGUCAUGUCCUUGGCUUGUUUUUCCUCUGUGCAGUACAGGUUCUCUGGGGAGGAAGAAGGACUUGGGUACUUCUGGAGUCCACGCGCCCAGCAUUCUCAGCUCUGCCUUAUCCUUCCCUAUCUUAGCCGGCAGCUGCAGACCAGCUACCCUUCUGUCCCAUUUAGUGUAUUCAUGAUGCUGCAGAGAUCACCACUAUCUAAUUCCAGAACAUUCUCAUCACCCUGAAUGUAAACCCCGUAGCUCAAUCCCAAGCAGUCGGGCCUCACAGCAUGAGUUGUUCUCCUUGAGGCCUUAGCCUGUCUGGACAUUCUCAGUGACAGUCACACACUGAGAAUGUCUUCCGCGGCUAGCCUCACAGUUCUCACAGUGCUGUGCUUUUGAGGUCGUACCUGCUCUGCAGGGAAGGGUGCUAUUUCCUUCCCUUUACGGAUCUAUCAGAGCCCUUGUUUAUCUGUCCACAGCUGAGGUUUGAGAUUCAGAAAUCCCAGGUCAGUGAGGACAUGACUGUGACUGCGUCACCCAGGAUUGGACUCCCGUUUCUGCUCCUCUAGAACUAUGCCCAGGACCCCAGCUGCCCGGCACGAGGCUGGCCUUCUCCUUGCUUUGCUGAGGACAGGCUCCUGGGUGGGAUCUGAGAAACCUGCUGCUGUGGGAGCUGUGCCUUUUCCCUACAGCAGUGGUUCUCAACCCGGGGGCCGCAUAUCAGAUACCCCGAAUAACAGGCAUGUACAUUAAGAUUUAUAGCGGUAGCAAAAUGACAGGUAUGUAUUUCCUCUUUUAAGGACAAAGUGCCAGCUAAGAGGGGUGAGGCACCAAAGACACCCUUCUCUGUUCCUUCAAGUGCAGAGGUUGGCUCAGGAUCUCCUGCCACCCGUUUCUGGGUUGUUUAAUUCCAGGACAAGUCAACCAACCGCAUUGUUGUUGUUGUUGUUGAAUACUGACUCUCCAAGUUUUCUCACUGACAGUCUGGCUACGCAGUUAAUUAAGAUGCCACGGGCAGCUCCUAUGCCCCUCCAAGAGAUGGCAGAAUGACAGAAGCUUGCUGUUAAGUUGUGGCCUGUUCCCAUUGUUCUAAGCUUCUACCCUUCACAUGAUCUGGGGCUGGCUGUGUUGCCAGCAUGCACUGAGGCCCAUCGUGGUUUCUGGGCCUGUCUGCUGGCUCCUCUGACUUCUAUGAGAGCUUAUUUGUGGUCCCAUGUGAGCCAGGUGGUGCUUGCAUCUUCCAGCACAGGUGAGCAAUUGGCUGUGUGCCGUUGUGCGUAUUUUUCGAUUAGUGGGAAAUAGGCAGUUCAUCUAGUUCCUCUUUAUUGCUUUUUCUAAAGCAUCUACAUUAGAUGCAUAUUAAUUUGCAUUUAAUGAAGAAAAGUAAUAACAAACAAUAAACCAAGCACAAACAUU